rnacentral:rRNA from 1 species
ACGGGAGGCAGCAGUGAGGAAUAUUGGUCAAUGGGCGGAAGCCUGAACCAGCCAAGUCGCGUGAGGGAAGACGGCCCUACGGGUUGUAAACCUCUUUUUCGGGGGAAUAAAGUGCGCCACGCGUGGCGUUUUGCAUGUACCCCGCGAAUAAGGAUCGGCUAACUCCGUGCCAGCAGCCGCGGUAAUACGGAGGAUCCGAGUGUUAUCCGGAUUUAUUGGGUUUAAAGGGUGCGCAGGCGGGAUGUCAAGUCAGUGGUGAAAUGGUGCGGCUCAACCGUAGCAUUGCCGUUGAAACUGGCGUCCUUGAGUGCGAAUGAGGUACGCGGAACGUGUCAUGUAGCGGUGAAAUGCAUAGAUAUGACACAGAACACCGAUUGCGAAGGCAGCGUACUGGGACGCGACUGACGCUGAGGCACGAAAGUGCGGGGAUCGAACAGGAUUAGAUACCCUGGUA